GGUGGGGUGGAUGUUCACCCUGCUGCCGCUACUGGUACUGCUGGUUCCGAUCGUGUCGGACAAACUGGACCCAACACGAGAAGGAUGGAUGUGACAGUCGUCCUUGGCAGUCUGCACGACUUGCACGUACGCGGUUGCUCUCCCACUACCACCAGUGGGUAAGUCCCACCUCCACACACCUCCUCCCAGUCAGACCGGCCCAGAGAGCGGAGGAGGAGGAGGAGGAGGAAGUGUGGAGCCACAACAGCGAGAACUGUGGAGGAGAUGCUACACUGAGGAAGAGGAGGAUGGUGGUGAUGAUGGUGCACGAUGAUUAAAGAUUAAAACAUGUUA